UACGUAGGGUCCGAGCGUUGUUCGGAAUUAUUGGGCGUAAAGAGCUCGUAGGCGGUUUGUCGCGUCUGCUGUGAAAUCCCGAGGCUCAACCUCGGGUCUGCAGUGGGUACGGGCAGACUGGAGUGCGGUAGGGGAGAAUGGAAUUCCUGGUGUAGCGGUGGAAUGCGCAGAUAUCAGGAGGAACACCGAUGGCGAAGGCAGUUCUCUGGGCCGUAACUGACGCUGAGGAGCGAAAGCGUGGGGAGCGAACAGG
rnacentral:rRNA from 1 species